GCCUGUCGGCCUAUUUUAAAAGGCUGCGGUAUAUUAACUGUACAAAGGUAGCAAAAUAAAUAGUUUUUUAAUUGAAAACUUGAAUGAAAGAGUUGAUAAAAUAUAAAUUGUCUCAAUUAUUGAAUUUAAAUUUAAAGUUAAAAUACUUUAAUAUUUUUAUAAGACGAUAAGACCCUAAGAAUUUUAUUAUUUAAUUUUUUUUAAAAAUUUAUUUAGAUUAAAAUAAUUUUAUUGGGAGGGUAAUUAAAUAAAACUUUAAUUAAAUUAAAUAUAUUUAGAUAAAUAAAAUGAUUAUUUUAAAGAUUAUAAGAAUAAAUUACCUUAGGGAUAACAGCGUAAUAAUUUUGGAGAGUUCAUAUUGAUAAAAUUGUUUGCGACCUCGAUGUUGAAUUAAAAUAAAAAUUAAA
rnacentral:rRNA from 1 species